rnacentral:rRNA from 2 species
ACGAACUCUGGUAUUGAUUGGUGCUUGCAUCAUGAUUUACAUUUGAGUGAGUGGCGAACUGGUGAGUAACACGUGGGAAACCUGCCCAGAAGCGGGGGAUAACACCUGGAAACAGAUGCUAAUACCGCAUAACAACUUGGACCGCAUGGUCCGAGUUUGAAAGAUGGCUUCGGCUAUCACUUUUGGAUGGUCCCGCGGCGUAUUAGCUAGAUGGUGAGGUAACGGCUCACCAUGGCAAUGAUACGUAGCCGACCUGAGAGGGUAAUCGGCCACAUUGGGACUGAGACACGGCCCAAACUCCUACGGGAGGCAGCAGUAGGGAAUCUUCCACAAUGGACGAAAGUCUGAUGGAGCAACGCCGCGUGAGUGAAGAAGGGUUUCGGCUCGUAAAACUCUGUUGUUAAAGAAGAACAUAUCUGAGAGUAACUGUUCAGGUAUUGACGGUAUUUAACCAGAAAGCCACGGCUAACUACGUGCCAGCAGCCGCGGUAAUACGUAGGUGGCAAGCGUUGUCCGGAUUUAUUGGGCGUAAAGCGAGCGCAGGCGGUUUUUUAAGUCUGAUGUGAAAGC